rnacentral:rRNA from 1 species
ACGGCUCAGUAACACGUGGAUAACCUGCCCUUGGGUCCGGCAUAACUCCGGGAAACUGGAGAUAAUUCCGGAUAACGCAUAUAUGCUGGAAUGCUUUAUGCGUAAAAUGGAUUCGUCUGCCCAAGGAUGUGUCUGCGGCCUAUCAGGUAGUAGUGGGUGUAAUGUACCUACUAGCCUACGACGGGUACGGGUUGUGAGAGCAAGAGCCCGGAGAUGGAUUCUGAGACAUGAAUCCAGGCCCUACGGGGCGCAGCAGGCGCGAAAACUUUACAAUGCGGGAAACCGUGAUAAGGGGACACCGAGUGCCAGCAUCAUAUGCUGGCUGUCCAGGUGUGUAAAAUACACCUGUUAGCAAGGGCCGGGCAAGACCGGUGCCAGCCGCCGCGGUAACACCGGCGGCCCGAGUGGUGAUCGUGAUUAUUGGGUCUAAAGGGUCCGUAGCCGGUUUGGUCAGUCCUCCGGGAAAUCUGAUAGCUUAACUAUUAGGCUUUCGGAGGAUACUGCCAGACUUGGAACCGGGAGAGGUAAGAGGUACUACAGGGGUAGGAGUGAAAUCUUGUAAUCCCUGUGGGACCACCUGUGGCGAAGGCGUCUUACCAGAACGGGUUCGACGGUGAGGGACGAAAGCUGGGGGCACGAACCGGAUUAGAUACCCGGGUAGUCCCAGCCGUAAACGAUGCUCGCUAGGUGUCAGGCAUGGCGCGACCGUGUCUGGUGCCGCAGGGAAGCCGUGAAGCGAGCCACCUGGGAAGUACGGCCGCAAGGCUGAAACUCAAAGGAAUUGGCGGGGGAGCAC